rnacentral:lncRNA from 10 species
CAACUGUUUUGGACGUUUAUCUUCUAAACUGCUGUGUUGAAAGUAUUGAUGACUGGCUUUCAUCUAAAAAGAAGAGACCAAUACGAGCACAGUAUAUGAAGGUUUCUCAUACUUAAGUUCCAGGUUUUUAUCUGGUAAAAUGUUACACUUACUCGGUUGUAACUGAAGAUAUGGAAGAUCUGAGUUAGAAUGUAUGAAUGGAAAAAAAAGGCAAAGCAGAACAAUUUCAGAGGUUCAAGAGCCAAAAGCAAUGGAAUGGACCCUAAGGGAAAAUAAAAUGGACCUGUGCUGCCUCUUUCCUCUUGUGCCACUCUCCCAAUCACUCAACCCUGCUCCAACUGUACUGGCUGCUAUUCUUCUUGAACAAACCUUCCUGCAUGACCUUGGACCAACUGCCAGAGUUUUCUCUGGGUGUUAACAGCGGUUGGACUACAGACAAUUGCUUCCGGGCAGCGUUCCAAAAUACUGGCUACAGCAGUCUCAUCGGCACCUAGUUCUUGUAAAAUAUUCGCAAUUUCUUCAACAUAGGUUUCAUCCUCUAAAAGUACCCAUCCUUUUAAUCUACGAAUUUUCCUAAUGUCAACUGAACAUUUAUAGAGCUUUUCCACUGUUCUUGUAUUUUCUUUGCUCGACUGUUUAUCAGUUGUAUAGGUGAAGCAUGCUAAGAAAGGUCUGUAUUUUGGAGGUGAUCGCAUCUUUCUGAAAGAACACAGCCUGCAGGACUGGGAUCUCAGCAGCAGCUUCCACAACAUGGCUGCAAUCUACUAGCUAGUUUCCACCGUCCUGGGACUUAAA